UUUCCUAAUCCUCUUUAUUUAUUUCUUUCAUUUCUUAUGUUGCUGUUUGAUAAUUGAUUGAAGUAUGUUUUUGCACCUUGGAAUAUACUUAUCUCGACUACAACUAAGGAUUAUACUAAGUUACAAACUGGAAUAGCUAUUACUCCCUCUGUCCCAAUUUAUGUGAACGCUGUUUGACUGGGCAUGGAGUUUAAGACAAUCCAUAAAUAUUUGUGUGGCUGGAAAUCAUUUCAUUAAGGGAAAAAGAGAAAGUUUUAAGUUAAAUUAUUUCUAAAUAUAGAAAUGUAUCCUUCUUUUCUGGAACAGACUGGAACGGAAAGUGUAUCGCAUAAAAUUGGGACAGAGGGAGUAAGUGUUGCAGAUAUAAUUCUAUCUGUAGUGUUGGAUGAUUUCGAUUUGAACAUAUUCUGCUGUUUUUUCCCUUGUUAGUUCUGGUCUCCCCUACCAGUGUUGCUUACCCAUGUAGGUUAAUUUUGUUCUAAUAACUGUGUCAAAGACUCGAAACUGUAGUAUCAAUAGUUGUAUAUAGAUUUCAACUAGUUACUCCCUCCGUCCAUAUGUACUUAAAUAAUUAAUAAAAUGAUAAGUUUACUGUAUCGCCCUUGAUAUAAUAAAUUCAAUGUUUUGGGAAAUGCACCGGGAAAUGAUUAUAGUUAAUAGUAAUGUUAAAUAAGGAACUAAGUGGUAAUUUUGUCUUGGUUUUCCAACCUGGACAAGUAAAAGUGAACAUCUAUUUUUAGUAUAGUGGACGAAUAAAAAUGGACGGAGGGAGUAAUUGCUAGGAGUCCAUUUAGUCCAUGUGUAGGACAGUAGAAAAUUAGAGAACCUUUAGUGUUAGAUAACCCCAAAUUAUUGAACUUUGGAAUGUGCUAUUCUAUUUAAUACCUCUUCUCUCCACCUGAUCGGGUUCCUUUCCCUGUUGACAGUUGGCAGAGAAAGAUUUAUGGUCACAAUUUUGACCAUAGUUUAUUAGCAUGUCGCUUAAGGUUAGGUUGGCAUUAAUGCAACAUAAAAGCUGAUACGUCGGGCUGAUUGGGCGAAUGGAGAUGUUCUUAUUUUUAUGAAGAGGGAAAAAUUACCUCAUUCCGAUAUGCAAGUUUAGUCGAUGUAGUUAAGUUUGCACGACUAUUUUCAUAUUAGGGGAACGAAAUGCAAUUUGAUAUUGAGAUACUAUUCUGUCAUGUAGGAGGAUACAUCCAGGGUCCUUGUAGAUUCACACCAAAAAUCCCACUCAUUAUGCCAUAUGAGGGAGAGAGCCAAGAAACAUAGCAUAGCGUUAAUUGUUAACGAUUUAUCUUAGAGGUUUUACUUUUAAUAAGUGGAAUGUAUAUCUUUUGUAAGAGGUCUCUCUCCCGUGAUAAUUUGUACGGAUGUAUGCUUCUCUUUUAAGUGCACACUGUUAGCUUGUGUCUAUGUCCUGUAAGUGCAAAGUGUUAGGUGUGUCUAUGUCCUUUAAAUUCAAACUGUUAGGUGUAUCCAAAACUUGAUAGCUUCUUUGCCAAAUGUGUUGGUUCAUAAACCAUUAAGCUUCCCAGUUGACACGAACGAAUAGCUUCCUAUAUAUCACUUCACAUGCCAUUUCUUGGGGGAUGGGGGUUUAGGUGUUUAUAGAAUUACUUGCUUUAAUCUUGUUCUUCUGUAAUUGAACUUAGUGACAAUUACUGUUACCUUUCUCAACCCAAAAAAAAACAAAACACAUAGUUA